rnacentral:rRNA from 1 species
UACGCAGGGGGCUAGCGUUGCUCGGAAUCACUGGGCGUAAAGCGCACGUAGGCGGAUCGCUAAGUCAGGGGUGAAAUCCUGGAGCUCAACUCCAGAACUGCCUUUGAUACUGGCAAUCUCGAGUCCGGGAGAGGUGAGUGGAACUGCGAGUGUAGAGGUGAAAUUCGUAGAUAUUCGCAAGAACACCAGUGGCGAAGGCGGCGCACUGGCCCGGUACUGACGCUGAGGUGCGAAAGCGUGGGGAGCAAACAGG